UUACUCCGUUCUAUUAACCAUGCAUUUUGUAACUGUUAUAUCUCAUGUAACUGUAGUGUUAAAAUGAUUUAGAACCACUGUUUUCGAUUACAGUACUACUGCGGUUGCUUUAAUUCCAAGAGUGCCAGAGUCCGUUCUUAGAGCAUUUCAGUAAAUCAUGAACAACGACAGGAAUCGGGUGGCUGAGCAGAUCUUGGAUCUAACCAUGGAGAUCAUCCUCCUACUCACUGGAGAGGUGAGGGAUUCUGGGUAAUACUAGAUUAUCUGUCUGCUGUCUGGAGAGUUGGAGGUUUCUGGGUAAACAGACCAAAACAGAACGCAAGCGAAUGUCGAGAACACAGAACAACUCAAAUAGCUUGUUCUUUGGUUGACCUUACUCCGUUCUGAAGCCGAUUUUAGUUAUUCUUGUGCCAUUUUAGAGAGAAC